rnacentral:rRNA from 1 species
AUUGAACGCUGGCGGCAGGCCUAACACAUGCAAGUCGAACGAGUGGCGGAAGGGUGAGUAAUGUCUGGGAAACUGCCUGAUGGAGGGGGAUAACUACUGGAAACGGUAGCUAAUACCGCAUACCAUCAGCUGUGCCCAGAUGGGAUUAGCUUGUUUGUGGGGUACCGGCUCACCAAGGAGCCGUUCCCUCGCUGGGCUGAGAGGAUGACCUGCCACACGUGAACUGAGACACGGUCCAGACUCCUACGGUAGGCAGCAGUGGGGAAUAUUGCACAAUGGGCGCAAGCCUGAUGCAGCCAUGCCGCGUGUAUGAAGAAGGCCUUCGGGUUGUAAAGUACGUUCAGCGAGGAGGCGUUACCCGCAGAAGAAGCACCGGCUAACUCCGUGCCAGCAGCCGCGGUAAUAC